rnacentral:rRNA from 1 species
GAUGAACGCUGGCGGCGUGCCUAAUACAUGCCAGUCGAGCGACCGCACGAGAAGCUUUCUCCUCUGAUGUUAGCGGCGGACGGGCGAGUAACACGUGGAUAACCUACUUCUAUGACUGGGAUAACUUCGGGAAACCGGAGCUAAUAAUGGAUAAUAUUUUGAACGGCAUGGUUCAAAAGUGAUAGACGGCCUUGCUGUCAUUUUUAGCCGGUUCCGCGCUGCCUUGGCUAGUUGGUAAGGUAACGCCUUACCAAGGCAACGAUGCAUAGCUGAGCUGAGAGGGUGAUCGGCCACACUGGAACUGAGACACGGUCCAGACUCCUACGGGAGGCAGCAGUGGGGAAUCUUGCACAAUGGGCGAAAGCCUGAUCCAGCCAUACCGCGUGAGUGAAGAAGGACUUCGGGUCGUAAAACCCUUUUAUUGGGGAAGAACAUAAGUGUGAGUAUAUCUGCACGUCCUGACGGUACCUAAUCAAAAAGCAACGGCUAACUACGUG